AACUUUCAGCAACGGAUCUCUUGGCUCUCGCAUCGAUGAAGAACGCAGCGAAAUGCGAUAAGUAAUGUGAAUUGCAGAAUUCAGUGAAUCAUCGAAUCUUUGAACGCACCUUGCGCCCUUUGGCUAUUCCGAAGGGCAUGCCUGUUUGAGUAUCAUA
rnacentral:rRNA from 1 species